GGGAUAACUAUUGGAAACGAUAGCUAAUACCGACAUAAGAGAGACUAACGCAUGUUAGUAAUUUAAAAGGGGCAAUUGCUCCACUAUGAGAUGGACCUGCGUUGUAUUAGCUAGUUGGUGAGGUAAAGGCUCACCAAGGCGACGAUACAUAGCCGACCUGAGAGGGUGAUCGGCCACACUGGGACUGAGACACGGCCCAGACUCCUACGGGAGGCAGCAGUAUGGAAUCUUCGGCAAUGGGGGCAACCCUGACCGAGCAACGCCGCGUGAGUGAAGAAGGUUUUCGGAUCGUAAAGCUCUGUUGUUAGAGAAGAAUGAUGGUGGGAGUGGAAAAUCCACCAAGUGACGGUAACUAACCAGAAAGGGACGGUCAACUACGUGCCAGCAGCCGCGGUACUACGUAGGUCCCGAGCGUUGUCCGGAUUUAUUGGGCGUAAAGCGAGCGCAGGCGGUUUUUUAAGUCUGAAGUUAAAGGCAUUGGCUCAACCAAUGUGCGCUUUGGAAACUGGAGAACUUGAGUGCAGAAGGGGAGAGUGGAAUUCCAUGUGUAGCGGUGAAAUGCGUAGAUAUAUGGAGGAACACCGGUGGCGAAAGCGGCUCUCUGG
rnacentral:rRNA from 1 species